ACGGGGAGCAGCAGGCGCGAAACCUUUACACUGCACGCCAGUGCGAUAAGGGAAUCCCAAGUGCGCAGGCAUAGAGCCUGCGCUUUUGUACACCGUAGGGAGGUGUACGAAUAAGGGCUGGGCAAGACCGGUGCCAGCCGCCGCGGUAAUACCGGCAGCCCGAGUGAUGGCCGAUCUUAUUGGGCCUAAAGCGUCCGUAGCUGGCCGCACAAGUCCAUCGGAAAAUCCACCCGCCCAACGGGUGGGCGUCCGGUGGAAACUGUGUGGCUUGGGACCGGAAGGCGCGACGGGUACGUCCGGGGUAGGAGUGAAAUCCCGUAAUCCUGGACGGACCGCCGAUGGCGAAAGCACGUCGCGAGGACGGAUCCGACAGUGAGGGACGAAAGCCAGGGUCUCGAACCGGAUUAGAUACCCGGGUAGUCCUGGCCGUAAACAAUGCCUGCUAGGUGUGGCUCCCGCUACGAGCGGGUGCUGUGCCGUAGGGAAGCCGCUAAGCAGGCCGCCUGGGAAGUACGUCCGCAAGGAUGAAACUCAAAUGAAUUGACGG
rnacentral:rRNA from 1 species